GGGGGUGUAGCUCAGUGCUAGAGCGUUCGUUUUGCAUGUGAAACGCCCGGGGUUCGAUCCCCCGAACCUCCA
rnacentral:tRNA from 13 species